GCAAGACACGAGCGGCAGACGGGAGAGUAACACGUGGGAACGUACCCUUUGGUUCGGAACAACCCAGGGAAACUUGGGCUAAUACCGGAUAAGCCCUUACGGGGAAAGAUUUAUCGCCGAAGGAUCGGCCCGCGUCUGAUUAGCUAGUUGGUGGGGUAAUGGCCCACCAAGGCGACGAUCAGUAGCUGGUCUGAGAGGAUGAUCAGCCUCACUGGGACUGAGACACGGCCCAGACUCCUACGGGAGGCAGCAGUGGGGAAUAUUGGACAAUGGGCGCAAGCCUGAUCCAGCCAUGCCGCGUGGGUGAUGAAGGCCCUAGGG
rnacentral:rRNA from 1 species